rnacentral:rRNA from 1 species
UACGGAGGGUGCAAGCGUUAAUCGGAAUUACUGGGCGUAAAGCGCGCGUAGGCGGCUUGGUCAGUGAGGUGUGAAAGCCCUGGGCUCAACCUGGGAACUGCAUCUCAUACUGCCAGGCUAGAGUAUGAUAGAGGGAAGUGGAAUUCCAGGUGUAGCGGUGAAAUGCGUAGAUAUCUGGAGGAACAUCAGUGGCGAAGGCGACUUCCUGGAUCAAUACUGACGCUGAGGUGCGAAAAGCGUGGGGGAGCAAAACAGGAUUAGAUACCCCGGGUAGUCC